CUGUUCACAAACUAGACUACUGCUGUUCAUGAGUAAAUAUCUUUGGUAUAUAUAUGCCUUUUGUACUACCAUUUGUACUAUUUAUUUUACACGUUGCUUCUCUCUAUUGAUUUUACGAUACGUUUUCUUCAUAUUAUUUUCUGAUUUUUUCUUCUUUUUCCUUGAUCCAGCCGAGAAAGCUAAGUUGUUGUUAGAUGUUUGCUUGUUCGUGGAUUUUUUUUUUUUUUUAGUUUUGUUAGCUUUCUUUAAGGUCUUCUUGCAUUUUUCCUGUCUGGUGUGCGAGAAUUUAGCUGGGUUCCCUUCAUCUAUGUCAACAGCUUCACUUUUUGCUUGAUGUAUAUUAUUUUGCUUCAUUUUUGCUUGUCUGGACUUCUUAUUCUUCUGUUGAAGUUUUCCUAUUAUAAUGAUUUUGCUUUAACUUUUUUUUAAAUUUUUUUAUUUUUCCAAAAUAGCUACGUAUGCAACUUCCACUCCACCACCAAAAACCUAUAAAAUAUUACUUGUUAGCUACCUAAUAUACAUAUAUCUGACCUUCAAACUUUGGCUUAUUAAUGUUUGAUCAAAUUUUUUAUCCAUCAAUUUUAGGGUUCCUUUCAAAAAAAUGUGCUGAGAUCCUUCAAAAUUUUCCUGUGUUUGUUUUAACAAGUGCUACUUUUUUUUAGAUAAAAAGAAAAAAAAAUUAUUAUUUUCAAUUUUAUAAUAAUUUCUUCCCAUGGGCUGGGUAUAUAGAUUAUGAUAAACUGGAAGAAAGGGUAAUCAAUUUUUGCCCAAAAAUAUUGAUUCAUAAGGAGAUGGGAGUUCAUUCCCUCGGGAGUUUUAUUAUUUAACAGAGAAGAAAAAAACGGAUGAAUAUAGAGUUAAAGGAAAUGUAUACUAAUAGUAGUGGUUCCUUGUAAAAGACAAAUGAAGAUAAUUUAACUGUUCCCACCCACUUAUCAACACCAUUAAUGAAUGCUACCAUUUCCCAAUGAAGAUCUACUAUAGCUAGGAAUAAUGGUGGCCAAAGCAAAUUUUUAAUUUUUCUCCUCUAUAAAAGAAUGAACAAUAGUGUUUCUUCAGUCAACAAAGUUGGCCAGAUGGGAUAAAAAUAAACUGCAAUCCACCUGCCCAUAUACUCAACAAUACAAAACCAGGAGGCUACGUGAAAAGAAAAUUUUUAACUCUCAAAGAAUGAACAAUAGUGUUUUUAGUCAACAAAGAUGGCUAGAUGGAAGGAAAAUGGAAUGCAAUCGACGUGUCCAUAUAACUUAUUGGAUGGAUUAACUUAUUGGAUGGGAAUUGCACCAUGAUUUAGGAACUUUAUGCCUUACUCAUUUUUUUUUCUUUUCUUUUUUCUUUCGGUAUAUAAAUUACAUCAUACGCAAGUGAGCAACAUUAAUACCCAUGCCAGUCUCUCCUUAGAUCAAUCCGCUGAAUCUAAGAACUUUUUUGUAUUUCUCUAACAUUUAUGUUAACAUUGCUUUAUUUCUAGAUGUUGUGCUCUUUUUUUUUUCUUUUUUUUUUGGCUCCACAUCCAAUUUAGGUUAUCAUAUUUACAAGUAUCUUGUUGUUUGUAUAGGGCUUUGAGAAAAUUUGUUGUUAAACUUGUGGGGAAAAUGUAAUUAAUAUUCUGAUAUCAACUUCUGGGGUUCUAUUUUGAAUAUAAAUUUAGUUGAUAACUUACUUUUUUCAAUUAGUCAUUUCAUGUGAGACCUUAGUACCGAAAUUUAUUUUUUAUAGGCUAAUUAUAAAUUUUAGAUCAGUAGUUUAAUAGUAAUAGAGAUAUAGAUUCACAUUCAGUUUACUAAUUUUAUGGACCCUCAUCAAAAUAUAGUUUGAACUUGCAGUUAAUUUCAUUCUUUAGUGAAUGAGAAUGGUAGUUCAAUUGUAUAUAUGUACGAAUAUAUCGCUCAGUCUAGGAUCAGUCUUGUACGUGCUCUUUGUUGCUAAGUAAAUCUUUGGAUCUUGCAAUGUUUUACUUUAAUAUUAAUUUUCGAUUAUUUUCAUGGUAAAAACAACGUAUGUAAAUGCAAUUUUCAGAGUGAAAGUUAACUACAAGCAGAAAGUAGGAUUCACUUUUUGCAGUCAUGAUAGAUAUGUAAUUGGUGUGUGUAUAUCUAUCCAUAUUGUAUUAAAAUUAACUAGAGGAUGUUAUCCUUUUUUCCUGGACUUGUGGUCACACGACUAUUCACAAAGUGAGUUUUCCACUGUUCAUCGGGAUGAAAACAACGUCAUAUUGAAAAAUAUGUGCAAACAUAAAAACAUCCAGACUUUUCUACCGACAUUAUUUCUUUUUGCCUUCAACUUCAUUUUAGCCUUCUCUCUCAAUUGUCCAGUUUGUUCUCCUCAAUUUCACAGCUGAUUUUGUUUUCCGUUUCCCUUGAUCUAGGUGAUAAACUUGAAUUUUUUUUAGAUCUUUGUUUCAUUGUCAUUUGUUUGUUAGUUUUUCUAGCUCUAUUUAAGGGAAAAAAAUGUUUAUGUAUACGUAUACUACAACGAGAAAGAGAGAGGAUUUUCAAAACAAAAAUACAAAAUAUAUCAAGCUUUUGCAAGAAAUUAAGACACCAUAUGAACACAAGGGAGUUGUGUAAAGAGAAAGCGUGCCUGCAGGAGAGAAAGUGACAAAGCAGGAAUAAAUUCAAAUCCAACUCUUUUGAAUAUUUUUAAUGUCAAAUAUUUUAUUAUUUAAUGUUUCUUUAGUAAAACCUUCGUGCCUAGGUGAUUGAAAAAGUGAAGGGUGGGGAUUCAGAGGUUUUAGUACAAGUGAACAAUGUCAGAACAAGUUGUUGUAAGUAUAUUGGCAGAUUUUUCGAUUCAUUAGGGAUUUUUUACACUUUUGUGGGUGUUUGUACUUCUAAGUUUCAAAAUAUUAUUUUUAUCUAGCUAAAAAUAAAUAAAAUUUUUGUUCGAUCUUUACUCCACUCUGAAUUUCUUUGUUAUUUUUUGCAACUCUAGAUCACAAUGUUGUCAUUCUUUCCAUUAGCAUGUAAAAUUUAGUUAGGUUCUUCUUUCUCUACUUCGAUCUAUCUCAGAAGUUUAAGUUUUGCUUAAUGUUUGCUUUUAGUGCUUUUAUGAAGAUUAAGAGAAAAUGUUGUAGAUAUAUUCAAACAUUCUUGGCUCAUCUAGGAAUUCUUACAGUUUUCUUCAUUUCUACUUGUAGGUUUUAAAGUUUUAGCCAUAUUUUUGUGUGUAUUUUCUUCUCUUGCUUUUACUUUUUGGAAUUAAUGAAUUUUUGUAGUGUUAUGAAUAAUUUUUAUUAUAAUUUUCAUGAUUCCAUGGCUUAAUUGGUUCCGUUAAUAUUGUAUUUAUUUUCAUUUUUUGUUCCAGGUUGCAAGAUAUCAUUCUCAGCAUAAAAAUAUAAAAAAUUUAAACAUCAAUUGAACUAUGCUAUCUUUAGGUAUCAUAUUUUUUGUUUUCUUUUUUAGAUUUUGCUGAGUUCUAUUUUAUCUUAUAGCCUAUUUGUAUUUUUUUGCUAAGUUUUUUAUUAUAGUAUUUAUCAUUCAAGUAUUAUUGACAAAUUGCAAACUCUGAUCUGUAUUUAUUGUUCUUAUGUGUACAAUGUUAAAUUAUAUUUUUCGAUUGUUGUAAUUGACGACUGUAGCAGCGCACUCUAUCUUGGGUAAGUUCUUCUAAUUGAACUAUCCAAUUUUUUGUUCAUACGUUCAUUUAGUAUGUUUAUUUUGGUUAUUUAUUUAUGGUAACUUGUAAAAUUUGUAAUAGGUUGUUGGUUAUUGAGCUUCAUUUCUGCAUUUUAUGAACACACUAUUUUUUCCUUCUAAAAUAUAUCUUUACUCAUCAUUACAUAUUGUGAACUUUAGUUUUAUUGUAUGUAUAUUUUAACAUAUGUAGGAUUAAUUCUUUCUAAUGCUUUCAGUUCUUGUAGCUAAGUUGAGGUCCAACUAUUCUACAAUAACUAUUAGUGUUUUGAUGGAUAUUUUUGAACCAUCUGUUGAUGAAGAAGUUGAUUUAGUUAACCUUCAAGCUACCUCUCAAACAACCAGCGAGUCAUACCACGUCUUUAUUCGUCAACAACAUAAUCAAAGAGAAAGGGAUCGAUACAAUCGAUUACAAAUUGAGCGCGUUGAUCUUCGAAAGAGGAUAAAUAACCGUAUAUCAUUUGGAGAGAAUAGCUUAGAUCUUGUUGAAAUGCAUGAAUCUACAACACAUCAUGAGUUUGAAGCUUCAACGUCAAACCAAAGAACAAUUGAUAAUUUCAAUUCUGAAUUAGAAGGAAGUUCAAAUCUGUUGAAUGUACCAAGUACUUCAUAUGUAUUACCACCGUGUAUUGGCUGUAAAUAUUGUGGUGCACGUAAAUUUUUUAGAGAAAGUAAAGGAUUUUGCUAUUCUGACAGAAAAGUUAAGCUUUUUAUGCCCGAAUCACCAACUGAACUGUACACCUUAUUUACUUCUAAAGAACUUAUAUGUAUGGAAUUUAAAAAAAUCGCAAGGGAAUAUAAUAACCACUUUGCAUUCACUUCAUUUGGUGUAAAAUAUGAUAAAGAACAUUUUAAAACAUACAGAGG
rnacentral:lncRNA from 1 species